GAUGAACGCUAGCGGCAGGCCUAAUACAUGCAAGUCGAACGAUACUUUCCAGCUUGCUGGAGAGGAAAGUGGCGCACGGGUGCGUAACGCGUAUGCAACCUACCUUCAUCAGGGGGAUAGCCCGGAGAAAUCCGGAUUAAUACCGCAUAAAAUCACAGGAUGGCAUUAUCCAAUGAUCAAACAUUUAUGGGAUGGAGAUGGGCAUGCGUGUCAUUAACUAGUUGGCGGGGUAACGGCCCACCAAGGCGACGAUGACUAGGGGAUCUGAGAGGAUGGCCCCCCACACUGGUACUGAGACACGGACCAGACUCCUACGGGAGGCAGCAGUAAGGAAUAUUGGUCAAUGGAGGCAACUCUGAACCAGCCAUGCCGCGUGCAGGAAGACUGCCCUAUGGGUUGUAAACUGCUUUUAUCCGGGAAUAAACCUCAUUACGAGUAAUGAGCUGAAUGUACCGGAAGAAUAAGGAUCGGCUAACUCCGUGCCAGCAGCCGCAGUAAGAC
rnacentral:rRNA from 1 species